UACGUAGGGGGCAAGCGUUGUCCGGAUUCAUUGGGCGUAAAGAGCGUGUAGGCGGCCAGGUAGGUCGGUUGUGAAAACUGGAGGCUCAACCUUCAGAGGUCGACCGAAACCAUCUGGCUAGAGUCCGGGAGAGGAGAGUGGAAUUCCUGGUGUAGCGGUGAAAUGCGCAGAUAUCAGGAAGAACACCCGUGGCGAAAGCGGCUCUCUAGAACGGUACUGACGCUGAGACACGAAAGCGUGGGGAGCGAACAGG
rnacentral:rRNA from 1 species